GAGUGAACACAGUUCUUUUAGAAUUUUUCUGCCUUUCUGAUUUUGAUUGGAAAGCCCAA
ensembl:snRNA LOC120095724 U7 small nuclear RNA